AAAUUUAGGUUACUUAAACCAAGGGCCUUCAAAGCCCUAAAAAAGAGGUGACCCUCUUAGUUUCU
rnacentral:tRNA from 1 species